rnacentral:rRNA from 1 species
UACGAAGGGGGCUAGCGUUGCUCGGAAUCACUGGGCGUAAAGCGCACGUAGGCGGAUUGCUAAGUCAGGGGUGAAAUCCUGGAGCUCAACUCCAGAACUGCCUUUGAUACUGGCGACCUUGAGUCCGGGAGAGGUGAGUGGAACUCCGAGUGUAGAGGUGAAAUUCGUAGAUAUUCGGAAGAACACCAGUGGCGAAGGCGGCUCACUGGUCCGGUACUGACGCUGAGGUGCGAAAGCGUGGGGAGCAAACAGG